CCAGUAAAAUAAUAAAAAAUAAAAGUAAAACUAUCGCAUAACGUAUAAACCCAAACAUGUUUGAUAAACAGGGAUCGAGUUUUAGAAAUUCGUACCACUACUACUUUACUUGAUGAUGUAAUCCGAGUGAUGGCCCGACUACAUGGAUUACAAAAUAUUUAGUGUUAUCGUUAAUAUUAUCGUGUUCAAAAAACUGUUCGGUGCAGAUGAGUUUGUGGAUUAAUCGCUAAACAAUAAAGCUCAGGAU